UCCCUAAUAGCUCAGCUGGUAAAGAAUCUGCCUAUAAUGCAACGCAGGAGACCUUGGUUCGAUUCCUGGUUUGGGAA
rnacentral:tRNA from 1 species